CUUGCAGGUGUUAUAUAGAGCUUUUGGUCUCUUCUGGCCUUAAAAACAGUAGAGGAAGUAGGAAAAAAAUCACCUUCCAGCAGAGAAGACCUUAUAUUCCUUUUUGACAUAAAGGUUUGUUGGAGAGUUUCCUUUAAUGUCAAGAGUCCUCAGCCUAAAAAUGCUACAGUGGAAGCAAGACCCUGGAUGGAUUUGUAAGAUACAAGAAACCAGUCUGUGAGAAUUAUCUUAAGAAGAUGACCAUGUUUCUUCUAAUGCAGCCUCCUCAGGUUUUUAUGGUACCCAGAUGGAAGACUGUCCAAGGAAUUGGGAAAGAUGAAGGAGGUGGUGGUCAGAAGAUUCAGACUGAAAAAUACACUACUAGUGAGGAAAUGGGGUUUUGAUACUUUCAACUUCUGAUAAAACAGUAUUUGGUAAUUUUCUAGUUUUGAAGUACAUUUACCAUUGUAGCAGAAGGUACCUUGCCAUUACAUGUUAACAGAAGAUACAAGUACCAUUUGAAGGAAGAGAACAUAUCUUUCAUACUUUCAGAUGUAAUUUGAAGGUUUGUGCAGAAUUGUCCUGCAAUAAGAGUUUAACUACAGGCUUAGUUCAUACAGGUAUGGGAUGGACGCUGUUGGUUUCUGUUCCUUUAGAGGACUUCAUACGGACCCAGUUUUGUGGAAAGAACUAUGUUAAGGAAGACUGUGCCGGGUAAGAGUGAAGUAUCACUAUGGGUCUCACACUUUCUGUAUGUCAAAUAUCAUUUGAUUUCCUUAGAAAGUUUUCUGACGCCUCUUCUGCCAUAUUGUGCCUGGCAGGAAUGUUGCUCUGUUCGCUUGAUGAUUCUGUUGCCAAUGAGAAGUUGUCACUGAUAGCUCCUAUUUCUUUAAUAAGAUUUUGUUUUGUGUUAUUUUGACAGUUCAUCAUCUUCUUGGUGGAUCACAUAAGAAUUUACAUAUUAGUUUUACUUGUUUCUGAGGACAGCAAGAAUUUUGUUCUGUAGUUGGCUUGAGAAUUUUUUAUCUUGAUGGAACUUAUCAGUUUCUCAUCCACAAUGACAACUGUUGAAAUAUAUAUUUUGGUUAACAAUCGAAAGAACCAUGUCUGUAAGGAAUAAUGAGAACAAAAAUUUUAUGUGUGUACUAGUAGCACAAGAGAGAGACUCUGUUGUAACAUAUUUUCCUGUGAAGUUUAUUGCUUGCAUGUACUCCUAGGGCACAUUUGACUUCCUCUGACUGUCAAAUGAAAGGAGCUGAAGAUGUGAUGUGCAGCAAGGCUGGCCUGCUCUGGGUGAACUUAUUGGCUGGUCAAGAGGGAUGGAUGCAUAAUGCAGAAGGGAGAAAUUUACCAGGCCUAGGGGACUAGCUGCAGAUUUAGAAAAAGCUCUCUCUGCUCUUUUUAAUACUUUAAUGACUAUCAUUGUCAAAAAUGUGUUUUGUUGCACCUAAUGAUCUAUUUCUCUGGGGCAGCUUAGAUCACACUGUAACAGUCAUUUUUAAGUUGCUCAGAUGUAUGGGAUUAUGACUGAUACCUGCAGAACAUAAGAAAAUUUGCUUGAUACUCCAUGACACAAACUGCAGCAGAGCUUUUCAUCAUUUGGAGGAAAAUGAGGAAGGAGAAAGAAGGGAGCAAGUGCAGAAUGUGAAUAAUUUAAGCUAUUUGACUGGCGCUUUCUUGUAGUUCCAGACUGCUAAAUCUGAUAUAGCUGUUUAAUUUCAAAGGCAACUGCACUAAGUUUCCUGUUUAUAGGGCAGAGCUUGGAACCAACAAGACAACAGCACACAAGAGCUAAAUGAUUUUCUCCCAGGUCAGCACUAAGCACUCUCAGAGUUAAACUUUUUUUUUUUGUAAGUUAUUUUCUGUAAGUUAUAAUUUUAAGUCAUUUACUGUCUCAAUGCACUAGUAAUCCUGAAACAGAUGAAAUGGAAGCCCUUUCAUUGUAUCAAACACUUUAGACUCUUUUUCCUCGGGAAAAGGAAAGGUUUCUUUCUUCAAGAAGACAAAAUCUGCAUAAGAGAGUAUUGCAUAGGUGAUGACAGAGCACAUACCAGUUUGGAUUGAUUUCACAUGCACGCUUACAGCCUGGGGUCAGACCUUACUUCCUCUCCAGUAAUGGGUCUAAGGAUUGCAAAAGAGGGAAUAGUUCUUUAAGAGAUCUUUUGUCCCUUCCCUGGAGCCCAGAGCCCAGGGCUAUAACUCGUGGUCUUAAUUGUUCCUUUCUGCUCUUCAGUGGUCCCCUUACUUGGGACAGAGAAAUUAUAUGAUGGAUAUGAAUGGAUACAGGUGAGUAAAUGUAAAAGAAAAAAAAAAGUCUUGGAAACAGAUGUCAGUCUUCCCGCUGCAUCUCUCACAGCUGUAACAUUUAAUUCGAAAUGGGGAAGCAUCUGUCCAAAAGAACUGCUUUGAGAUGGUCAAGCAUAUCUUUGGUUCUAGAGACUGUAAAUGUCCAUAUUCCCACAGCUUUCUCUCAGACACCAGAGCAGGAAUUUACAUGGCCAGGAUAUUCUUGCAGAAUUCUGGUAGGCCAAAUAAGUGUCUGGCAUCACACAUUGGACAAUCGCUUUUACAUUUUCACUUGUCUGGCAAAAAAAAUUACAUUCUCCUAGCUUUAUAUCUUGGUUUUCUUCAUUGUUUUCUGAGUGAUGUUUGAGACUCUGAGCAAGCUGCCAUACUUUGGCCCCAAGGGAUGGGCCACUCAUCUUCUCCAAGCUAAAGAAUCCUCUUCUAGAUACUAUUAAACUUGGAGAAUCUGAAAAAGGGUGCUUGCCUUCUGAUAAUAAAUAUUAUGAAGCUGUAGGGGAUGGUCUCAGCUUCAAUCCUUCAUUAGAGAUCAGUGUAAGGAAGCAAAGGUCUAUCAGAAUCAAGUUAGCUCCUGCCUGAGAGCAUGACUAAUGGCACAGGAUCAGGGCCAUUGCAUUUCCUACUGGUGAUGUUAGAUAUGCCUUGAACAAAAUAUCAGUUCCCAAACAGCUGAAGUAGCUUAUAAAUCAACACUUUAAUCUUUUGCCUGGCCCUUUUGUUUGCCUCAUUGAGUAAGCCUUCCUUCAGGCUUGGACACUAAAGGAAAUAGUUUGCUGCAACUAAUGUUCUGUCUACUUACCAGAUAUCAUAUGGACUCCAGACUAAGCUCAUGUGCACAGAAAUCAGAUACUUAACCUUUCACUUUUUAAAUAUGCAUCAUAUGUGCAAGCAACGUAUUUAGUAUAAAGUGGCUGGGUGACAAACACAGAGGAAGGGACUCUUUUCUGAAAUCCCAAUGUAACAGGAAUAGGUGAUAGUCACAAAAUACUCUUCCUUACUAAGGGGGAAGAUAAUUUAAGGAACUGAUGUUGUGUCAGUUUUAUGUCUUCUCCCUUAACACUGAGAACUCUGCAUCAAGCUGUAAUGCAAACUGUAUUAUUAAAAAUGACUCCAUAGCUAUACACAGCAAGACAGUUAUGUCCUGAUGCAAUGUAUGUCACCCAAAGAAUGUCACACUUUGUUCUUCUCCCUGAAGUAGUUAGAGUUAUAAAGAAGUUCUGAAGUGUUUUCACAUGAAAGAAUCCGAUUCUAAUGAAUAAUGACGGGUUCAGCCAGCAGGCUGCAAAACUCCUGAAAGCCUUUUUAAAGGUCUCUUCAGAAAAAGACUACAAGGAAAGUGAAACACAUGGAUGUUUCAUGGUGUUGGAGUCUUAACAAUUGGUACAUCUCCCUCUGCAUUAUUAAGGUGAGUUCUCACCACCAAACUUUCUUCAUAAGACUUCUCUGUUAUGUGGAGGGUGAUGUUAUAUAUGAACAGGAAUAGAAAUACUUCUUAUCUCACUUUGGUACAUAUGUGAUGCACUGCAAAACUUUAAAACAUUAUAAGUAACCAAGAGAAUUUUAACAGAGGUAUUUUUUCAGAGUUUUUUUAAAGGUUGUUUUUCUAUUAUAAUCCAUAUUCAGCACCACUAGAAUAUGACACGUUGUGAAGAUCUUGUCAGCUGAGUUCACUACACAAUCCACAGGCUCUUUUAGUUCCACUGCUAUAUUUCUUUCUCUAUAAGCUUCCUACAACAGGUGGAACUUCCCUCACAGGCUUUCCCUUCAUAGUCUACAGUCAACCGCAAGGAUGGUAGAAGUCAGUGAUUCUGCUAACUAGUUGCUGAUGUGUCUGCAAGUCCUUCAUUGACCCUUUUCUUGUUGCUGAUCACAUUCACCUUUUGAUCACAUUCAUCAAGACAAAAAGCCUAAUAUAGAAUCAAGAAGGAAGCUGCCUUCUAAGUCAGGAGAGCAAUGCGUGGAAGUCCAUUGGUGGAGGAGGAAAACAGCAAUAUGCCAUGAUAUUCUCUGCUUAGAUACAAACUCCAAGCAGGAAGACUUACUGAGCUGGGCCACUAUCUUUAAAAUAUUGCAAUUCCUAGAAUAACAUAAUCUUAUUUCCUUAUGAUCAUUAGUUGAACAAACAGAUGCUCAGAGACAGUUUAUUGAAGGUAAGGUGUACAUAUAGUUCAAAGGGUCAUGAGGCUUGCUAGACAAGCUGUGGGUCCCAUGGCAUGACAGACCCUCUCUGUUAGGCAUGUUUCAAUGUUUACUUAGUGUUCCUCAUUUUUAGUGUUUCUAACAAUGAGAAAAUCCCAACAAAUGGAGCUCACAUGUGCUGUUAUUCUAUCAAAACAAACUAUAUUUUGAAAACUUAUUAAGGCCCUUAGAAGCCAACUCUUUUUUUUAAUUUUAUUUUUAAAUAAUUAGUAAAGGAGCUUAGUUGCAUUAGAUGUAACUACUUGACUUCUUUCUUUUGUUGUCUUCCAACUUGUAUCUCCUUUUUCUGUCACAAUAAAUGACAAUAAAAAUAAAUGACUGGACAAUGAAAGCAUGUAGACAUGCCUCUAAAUGUCCCACCUAGUAAAGAGUAAACUAUAGGCACUAUUUUUACUUGUCCACAUUUUUCAGAAUUCACUGGUUUUUGAUUUGGAAGGUGAAGGUGGGUUUUAAAAAUUUUUAUUUUUACUUGUAAGGUUGACAGAAGCAAACCCAAGCCUACAACUAACCCGUACUGUGCAUGAGGACACAUGCAUACUCCCAAACCACCCAGGUUGCUUGCUUGUGUGGGUGACCUGCUUGGGACAUUAUCUGAAACAUUGCUGUCUCUUGCACUUUUACUACAGGUUUUCAAUGAGGAAGAAUUUCUGACAGAUAUUACAGGAAUGAAAUGAAUUCUCUUUACUUUUGUAAAUCCAUUUAUUCCUUCACAAAUAGUCAAUCUGAUGUUUUAUUUUUAUUUUUAUUUUUAUUUUUUUUUUAUUUUUUUUUAGAGAAUACCAAUCUCCCCAUCUUCUUUCUGGAGGAAGCUGGGGACAUAGGAUCUCCUCCAAGGCUGCCUAGUUCAGUGAAUUUAAAUUGGACACCUAAACUAACUUAUGCAGAAGCCCCAGAAGAAAAGCUUCCUGACAGCAUUGGGAGUUAGAUGGUGUCACUGAUUAUUCUGCUGUUUCCUAAAAUGUUUCCUGGACUAUUUCAGGUAGAGGGAAACAGCUUGCAUUACUGCAAGAAAAAGAUUAAAUUAAAUUGCUUAAUAAGAAAAAUGUGUAUCUUUUCCAACAUUUCCAGUGCUUGAUGGUGCUACAAUAAAUUUUUCUGUUUGUCCAUAUUUUAUGGAGACAGGAACGUGAGUAGAAUUGAUUCUAGUAAAGGAAUGAUAGACCUAAGAGACUAGAGAUUCAAUUCUCAUUUGUUGGCUCUUGUAUCGUGUUGAGUGAGAGUUAGCUCAUUUCAUGAAGCAAUUCCUACAAGUCUGGGCUCCAGUGCUGCCACUGUAGAAUUUGGUAGAGAGUCUGAGAAGCUUUCAGACCAAGCUAUUGCCGCAAGACCAUAAGGAAUACAAGCGUAAGGAAGAACGAAUACAUGUGCAUGUAUGCUUUAACUAAAAAAUGCAAAUUAAUAGAAGUGCCUUCUUGAUGACACAAUCCAAAUGACAUUUAAUGAAAGAUGGUGUAUUUUGAUGUGGCAGGCUUAGAAAGGAUUUCAGUGAUAGUUAUGAAAACAAGACACUAAAAACCCCUGUGAGUGAGUUACUGAUCUGCAUAUGAGUAUUGUAUGACACUCAAAUAGAUGAGGAUAAUCUACCUCCCCAGAGGAGUAAUUGUAUUUUGGAAGGUGGACAAAGGAAGAAAGAACACUCUUGAUCAGAUGGCACAGCGUUUUUUAAUUUCUCUGAAACAGCAGGCAAAGUACUGAGAAGUGUCACAAAGACUAUGAAGAAAAAACAAAACGUGAUAGUUGCAUUUUGUUUCUAAGGACUUUUUUCUGACUGGCUGAAUCAUUCUCAGUGCUUCAGGAAUAACAAUUAGAUAAGUCUCCCAGGGAUCUGAAGUUUUCUUAACAUCUCUUGCGUAAGGAAUUUGGGAGUGCAGGGCUCUCCCUGGCUAUUCUUUUGGAGGGGGCAAGUUACAGUCAUUUGGUUUCUGUUUCUAGUUCUAUGCUAAGUAACUGGGGGUGGGGGGUAAGGUGGAGAGGCAUUCAUGCAUAUCUAUCCAUGUAUAUCUAUACCUGCAUCUAUUUAUUCGUAUGCAUACAUGUAUUACAUUUCCUGGUAACAACAGGUACAAGAUGCAUUUAAUUCAACAGUUCAGAGUACAGAAAUAAAAUAAAAUAGCAUAUACUGAUACUAUUACCAGUAAAAAAGCAAGAGCAUACGCUGUAUUUUAUGUCCACUUUAGAGAAAUCAUCAAGUUCUUUGGUAUAUCUGGGACUGCAUUUUAGAGUUCAAAUAUAUUUGCAUUUCAUGGCCACCCUUUCCACUGCUGGAGCUGCUCUGCCAAACAUCAUAAGGUGCUUCAGGGCAAAGUCUGAUAUGGAUCUCUUCUUGUCUUUGCCUUAGUGCUACUGUGGUACUUCAAGAGACUGAUAACUCUCCUUGUAUGAGUGACACAUUUCACCCAGCUGCCAAGCACACAGUUCCAUCUAGCAAAAAACCCCUUGAUUUCCUUCAGAAGUAUUUUUUACUAUGAGCUGACAGUAACAGACAAACGUGGGCUCUUAAAAUACUGCAUUGUUCUUCUAGCACUGUAGAGUAAAGGUGGAUAGGCUUUAUGUGCGCAUGCCUGAGGGAGAACUAGAAAAGCUCCAGAUUCUCCCGACAUGCCAUCUACUUGUCAAAAUGACAGCCAGCUGACAUGGAUCUGUAUUGUCUGCAUCCUGAGAAUUCUCAGUGCUAUUUCUGAGUUGUCCUCAAAAUAGUUACUCUGUGCAAAGGAGUUCACAGCACACUGAAAAAUCCUCCCUGUACCUAAGCAGUCUUUGGGAAUUCAAUGAAAGAUUCACUCUGGGGCAUUUCCUACUGAAGUAAGAUAAACUACUCUGUAUUUGCUGCUCACUGAUUAGUUAAUGACAGUUCGGCACAUUGAUGAGGGCCUUUUCUAGCACAAAUAAUACAGAAUUCUGCACCCCUGGUCCAAGGGGAUCUGCAAGGCAUGUGAGGAGCCUUGGACUCUCUCCGUCAGGAAGCCAGUUAAUGUAUUUCAUACUAGGGAACUGUGAUUCCCCUUUGCCUUUACCCUUCUGUCUGAGAUCUACCUCUGCUGAAAAUAUGCAUAGAAGUGUACCCACUUGGAAUAUGCACUGCAACUGAGCAUGGACGCAAACAAGAGAACAGUUGGUGUGCAUGUGCCAGUCAUGAAAAGUAAAAUUAUGCUUCUGAACUAAGUGUGUACUGGAAAUUUUCAUUCCCAGCUUAGAGGUCAAACAGACACCAGGCUGCUGUUCAGGGGAGAGCUCAUCAUACCCAGAUGCCAAACAGUAAGUCAUCUCUAGCACAUGAGCAACCAGACUUUGUAAAAGAAAAGCAGUUUUGCCUGUAAAGCUGCAAAAAUUUACCUGACACUGGGUAGUAUAUAUGGAGAAGGCACCAUCUUCAUAGGCAGAAAUCCAUUCUACCAGCUUCUUAUUUCCAAAUUCGAUGAAAGGUAAAGCUGCUGAAGGCAAAACAUAGCAGCCCAUUCCUCACUUGUGAGCUGAAUAACAGGAUUAUGCUGAAGUGAUUAAUACUGUAUUGGUUUCCUGUGCAAAGUGUGUAAAUGAGACUAGAUUUCCUCUCAGGCUAACUGGCAUAUUUACGCUAUUUGAGGAGCUAGCAAUGAGCUCUAAGGGUGACGGGGUAUUUCUGUUAACUUUAGUUAGAUUUAUACUACAAUGUGUCUGAGAAGAAGACUUAAUUUGUGCCCAAGGUACAGAACCCAGGAAAUCUGUUCCUAGUAUUUUCAUAGACUUCCCUUGGGAUCUCUAGCAAGUCUUAUAAUCAUAUUAUUAUUAUUAUUAUUAAUAAUAAUAUUAUUAUUAUAAUAUAUUAUAAAUAUAUUAUUAUUAUUAUUAAUAAUAAUAAUUUCUGGCACAUGUCCAUUGACGCCGGGGGAUUUGGAUUUUGUAGUUCCCUUUGAACAGCCACAUUUCUGCUGCAAUGCAUCACAGCUCAGCUCAGACUUUUUGAAAAUAUAGGCCUGUGCUUUCACCUCAGGGAACAACACCGCCUCAUGUUGCAGUCCUAUGGGAAGGUAAAAUUAAUGUUUCAGAGGAGCUCAAAUAUAAUGUGGCAAUGCCUUUAAAUAACAAAAAUCAAAUCAAUUGAAUUCUCAUUGCCCAAACAUUCCUAGCAAAUUGGCUAUUUUCUUUUUGCCCCCAAACAACUGAAGAUGUAUUAUUAAAACUAAGCAAAUACAAAUGCUAAGUAGUAUGAAGAGCUUGACUCAUACCAAGAGUUAAAGCUGGAAAUAAUUCUGUCCUUAAUCCACCCUGUAUUGCCCUGUGGUAACAUCAGCUGUCAUACCAGAGGUCUAGUAGACUGCUUACAUUCCCAGUAGAUAGCAGAACAAACUGGCCAAGGCACAUUUUUGCUGAAACAUUCAUUGAGCUUCUCAUUGUGCUUUUACCUGACAUUUAAAAGAUCACUUAAAAAUGCAAUUAUUAUUACCUGAUCAUUGCAAUAAAUUUGUUGUAUAAAUGAUAUAUGGAAAUGAAAGUUCAGGUUGCUUAUGGAAUACAUGAACUGAUUAUUUUACCCUUUGCACAUUUAAAUAAAACUUGACCUGAUCUCAGAAGCUUCAACUUGUAGGGUCUUUAUAUUCUGUC